rnacentral:rRNA from 1 species
AACGAACGCUGGCGGCAUGCCUAACACAUGCAAGUCGAACGAGACCUUCGGGCCUAGUGGCGCACGGGUGCGUAACGCGUGGGAACCUGCCCUUAGGUUCGGCAUAACUCCCCGAAAGGGGUGCUAAUACCGGAUAAUGUCUUCGGACCAAAGAUUUAUCGCCUUUGGAUGGGCCCGCGUUGGAUUAGCUAGUUGGUAGGGUAAAAGCCUACCAAGGCGACGAUCCAUAGCUGGUCUGGGAGGAUGAUCAGCCACACUGGGACUGAGACACGGCCCAGACUCCUACGGGAGGCAGCAGUGGGGAAUAUUGGACAGUGGGCGAAAGCCUGAUCCAGCAAUGCCGCGUGAGUGAUGAAGGCCUUAGGGUUGUAAAGCUCUUUUACCCGGGAUGAUAAUGACAGUACCGGGAGAAUAAGCUCCGGCUAACUCCGUG